GUUUGAAUAGCUCAGAGGUAGAGCAUGAGACUGAAAAUCUUUGUGUCAAUGGUUCAAUUCCAUUUUCAAACA
rnacentral:tRNA from 1 species